CUCACACCGGAAGAGAGGGCCUGGAGGCGUGAUCGGAGGCGAAGGAGAAUCGGUUGGAACGCACGCGAAAUCCGAGGUUGCCCAGUGAUCGGUGCCUCGGCAUCGUCAGUCAAUCCUGCAAAGGCUGUUGCUGAUGGCCUCAGGGACGGGGAGCUCGCCGCCGCCGGAGAUCGGCGCCCCAGUGGCGGAGGCGGCGGUGGCGGAGGAAGAGCAGGCGGUGGAGGGAGAGGACGCGUUCCAUAUACCCAGUAAGAAUGCGUCGCACGAUCGCCUGCGACGGUGGAGGCAAGCAGCUUUGGUCCUCAAUGCUUCCCGUCAUUUUAGAUAUACUCUAGACCUGGAACUGGAGGAAGAGAAAGAGAACUUAAAAAGAAUGAUACGAACUCAUGCACAAGUGAUACGA